rnacentral:lncRNA from 1 species
GCCACUGAGCUGCUGAGGACACUGCUGCAAGGGGAACCCCUGGCGUUUGUGCUGGGCCAGGCCCAGGAGUCCUUAGACAGCCUUGUGGAAGCAGCAGAAGACCUGGCCCAGGAGGUGAACCGAACCUUCCAGGGGCUGGCGCUGUUGAAGCGCAUCCAGGAGGUGUGGGAGCUGCUGGGCGCCCCGCUCUUGAACUUCGUGAACGACAGCGCCGGUGUCGCGCGGCUGCAGGUGGGGCCAGGACGCCGGGCAGCAGAGUCAUGCCCUGCUGAGGAUUUGGGCAAAG